rnacentral:rRNA from 1 species
GACGAACGCUGGCGGCGUGCUUAACACAUGCAAGUCGAACGGAAAGGCCUGCUUUCCCUUGUGGAUUGCGGGUACUCGAGUGGCGAACGGGUGAGUAACACGUGAGUGAUCUGCCCCCAACUUGGGUAUAAGCCUGGGAAACUGGGUCUAAUUCCCGAUAGGACUGCAGGGUGGUGCCUGUGGUGGAAAACGAUGUUCUAGUGGUUGGGGAUGAGCUCGCGGCCGAUCAGCUUGUUGGUGGGGUAAUGGCCUACCAAGGCGGCGACGGGUAGCCGGCCUGAGAGGGUGGACGGCCACAUUGGGACAGGGACACGGCCCAGACUCGUACGGGAGGUAGCAGUGGGGAAUAGUGCACAAGGGGCGGAAGCCUGAUGCAGCGACGCCGUGUGGGGGAUGACGGCCUUCGGGUUGUAAACUUCUUUCGACCGAGAGGAAGCCACCUGGUUGGAAGGGUGGUGACGGUAGUGGUAGAAGAAGCACCGGCUAACUACGUG